GGAGAGAUGGCUCAGUGGUUAAGAGCACUGGCUCCUCUUCUGGAGGACUUGGGUUCAAUUCCCAAUAUCUACA
rnacentral:tRNA from 1 species